UCAAAUUUGAAAUCUGGCCCCUCUGGGGGUCCGAGUUGUAAUUUGCAGAGGACACUUCGGGUGCGGUCGCGGUCUAAGUCCCCUGGAACGGGGCGUCAGAGAGGGUGAGAAUCCCGUCUGGGACCGUGGACCUGCCCCGUGUGAAGUUCCUUCGACGAGUCGAGUUGUUUGGGAAUGCAGCUCUAAGUGGGUGGUAAAUUUCAUCUAAAGCUAAAUACCGGCGGGAGACCGAUAGCGCACAAGUAGAGUGAUCGAAAGGUUAAAAGCACCUUGAAAAGGGAGUUAAACAGCACGUGAAAUUGUUGAAAGGGAAGCGCUGGCAGCCAGACAGGGACCCGGGGGCUCAGCGGGCAUGCGUGCCCGUGCACUCCCCCGCGGUCCCGGCCAGCAUCGGUUUCGGCGGCCGGUCAAAGGCCCCGGGAAGGUAUCGUCCUCCGGGACGACUUACAGCCCGGGGUGCAAUGCGGCCAGUCGG
rnacentral:rRNA from 1 species